ensembl:lncRNA
GCACCACUCUUCAUCGCAGCAUACUCUGCAGACCACUGUGGAUUACAAUGGGUGGUGUCGAGUUACCGCAGAUGCUGCUUUAUCUCAGCGGCGAAGCUGGAAAAACAAGAUGUAGACUUAAGGGCACUGCAGGGUUUUUCUGUCUUUCACUGUAUUCUUCUCUGUCACGAUGGGCAGCUAUAGUUCAGCCCUCAUUCCCGACACUGAGGAGUUUGUGUCAGUUGUGUCUAUCACGGAGAAGCUGAAUGCGCACGCAGCUCAUGCUGUAGAUGAGAGGUUACAGUCAGAGCUUCGGACUCUGGGAAGUAUACAUUUUUAAUGAAAGCCAUCUACAAGCCAAGCCAUUCCAUUUCUUAAUCGUCC